UCCCAUGGACAGAAGAGCCUGGUAGGCUACAGUCCAUGGGGUGGCAGAGAGUCAGGACACGACUGAGCGACUUCACUUUCACUUGCUUAUUUUUCUGUUGGACUAUCCUUCUUAAAUUUGUUGUAAACUGUUUGUUUAUUAGAUACUUAAGCAUCUAUGCUCUUAGUUCUGAAAUGUCAUACUGAAUGUUAUUAAGUACUUUAAAAAAGAAUGAAACAUUAAGCUCAUUUUUGUUAAAAUAACAUGGUAAUUCCCUGUCUGAUGAAUUGGUGAUUUUAUAUUGAAAGGAUUGUCAUUGUUUUUAUGGAAUGUGAAUCCACUAACAUUUUUAUGGCUAAUGACCUACAAUAUUCAGCUUCCCUUAGCAAACAGUUGAGUUUUCUCUCUUAUCUGCAUAUGAAUCCUCAGAUUUAAAUGUGCCAUUCAUCCUAUUGUUUGUAACCCCAGUCUAUUCUUUACUUAAAAUGAUGGAUUAGAUUAGAAACUUGUUUAUAAAAAUGAUAGUUCCUGUAGAAAAUGACUCAACUUUGAGUUAACUUUCUUUCCCUCGUAAAUCAAGAGUCAUCCAGGAUAAACUUCCAGAAUUGUGUUUAGAUAGAGGUGUGCCUUGGAUAGAGCAAAUUAAAUUUUGUUUUAACAAGCUAGGAGUUCAGCCACUUAUUUUCUGAACUUUAUUAUAAUUGGUGCUUCUGUACAGUGACAGCUUGCUUUUGUUAAGAGUUUUCAAAAUUGAUUAUUUCAAGGGAAUUUUGUUUUAUUGAUUUUUUAAAAAAUCUUGUGAGUUUUUGUUUUGGAGGCUUUUUUUUUUUAAGAUGUGUGUGGUUGGUUGGUGUUUAUCUCACUACUGUAUUUAAACACAUGAACUGAAGCAGCAUGGCUUUUGUAUACAGUAUUUAAUACUGUUGUUGCUGCUCAGUUGGUAAGUCGUGUCCAACUCUUGGCGACCCCAUGGACUGCAGCACGCCAGGCUUCCCUGUCCUUCACCAUCUCCGGGAGUUUGCGCAAACUCAUGUCCAUUGCUUUUGAUAAUAAUCAUUUAGCUUUAGCUUUUGGGAUUUUGAGUUGAUUCUUACCUGAUAAUGACAGUUUAGUAAAACCAUGCUGCAUUUGCCACUGCAUUUGGAAACUAAUGCAUUUAGUGGAUCAUUCUGAGAUAUCCAGAAUGGCUUCUUGACACUCUACUUCGGGCAUUGUAUUUACAAAGCAUUGUAGCUGAUGCUAAGAGCUUGGUAUUACUGAUGGUUCAUCUCUGUUCUCUUAGGAAGUUGGGGUCAGGAAUAAAUGAGUAAAGAUCAGUUUAGAAUUUUCAUGCACAAACAUGCUAACCUAAGUUUAAAGCUAAAUUUAGCCAAAACUAUGUAAGUUUUCCCAACUCUAUUUAAUUCUCAAGAUUUGCUUUUCUUGUGUUUUGAAAGUGGGGAGGGUAGAGUGGCUUAAUAAAGUCUCUGCAGCUGUUGUUUCUCAUUGAUCCCAUCCAUGCCAGUUAGAUUCAAAGAAAGAUUAAUUUAGGAAUUUGGUCAUUUUAGGAGUAGCUAGAAUAAUGUUAAUAUUGUAAUGUUAACAUUAUGUUAAAAUGUUAAGGAAUAUUAUAGAAUGUAGAAUAAGUUUUUUUGGAUUGAGGCAGAAUACCAUAGUUGAGUACAAGCUCUGCAGCAUGACCUUAUGACCUUAUGUUAGUUUUGAGAUUAUAGGCAGAUUAUUUUAGUCUCUUGACUAAGCCCUCCUUCUCAUCUCUAAAGUUGGUAUUAUAAUCCUGUCUAUCUCACAGAAUUUUGAAUAUUACAUAAUAUCAGUGCUGUGAAGUGCUUACCAUAGUGCAUUGUGCUUGUCAGACGGUGGUAGUUUCAGUCUUACGCUGCUUACAGUCUUACAGUUUAGAAACAUCUGUUUAUCUGUUUCUCAGUGUUGGAUUACUUUUGAUUAACCACUACUUAAAGUUGAGUCAUAGUAAAGGGCCUUGCUGAAGAUGUUCUGCUUCAUUUCAAGAUUGAAUUUAAGAAAGGGGACACAUAAAUCAAAAGGGAACCUUUUGCUCAUAAGCAAAUAGGCAAUUUAGCAUGAUGAUUGCUUUUGAUAAGACACUAAAGUUAAUAUAAAAAUUUUUAUGGUUAUUGCAUGUGAUAGUUUACUGUAGAAAUAACUUAUGAUUUAAAACAACAUUACUCACACUUAAAAGAUUUUAAUAACGUUGGCAUGGUAUUUUAUUUCUCUACAUCUUGUUUUCUGGUUCUAUUCUAAAGCAAAAGAAUAAAAGAAGUUGUAGUUUGGUGUUCCAGAUCUUUAGAAAUUAAAUGUGGUCUUAACAACUGAUCUCAUUUUUGGUAGCAUAAAACUACAUUGUAACAUUGAAUUUUAAAAACAGAAGUAAUGACUGCUUUUAGGCUUUCUUAAAUUUAUGUAAAUAAUAUCUCAGGCUUCUUCUCCCAAGAUUUUACUCAGUAGAGCUUAAAAAAUAUGUUUCCAUGUGUCUGUGUAACUCCUGUUGUGCUACAUUUGAUAUGAUUUGGGUUACUUUUUACCUAGCAGUGUCCUCUCUUUUCAUCUUCUCAACCUGUGUAUGAUUUCUGUAUUGACUGCACAAGUUAAAAGGCCUUUUUCAUUUACAGAUGUUUACCUGCCCAUGAGUCUUUAAUAAUGACUACCUGUUUUUCCAUAGACCCACUUUCUAUAGACCUAGUCACCAUCCCAUCCUAUAACUGGCUUUAUUUAAACAAUGAAAAGUGAGGGGCCUAAUAUAUUUCUGUGAAAAGCCUACAGUUGCUGGUAAUGAGUGGCAGGACAAAAUGCAGCAUGAUCUUUGAGGUUGACUUGGUUUUGCUUUUGAUUUUUAAAUCUUUUACACAUGGAGAAAAUUGAAUGGCGUCUUAAUUUAUAAUCAUUUAUAGUUUUAGAUUUAAAUUAGGUGUAGAAGCCUUUAAAGUCCAGGUGUGUCAACACACCUAAUUAACUAAUAAGUAGAGGUAGUUCCCUUUGUCUAUACGGAAAUUAGCUAAUUUUAAAUAUUUGAUUUUGAUUUUAAAUAUUCAAAUAGUUUUAAUCAGUUAGUCUAUUUUUUCCCAGUGGGUUUAGGUUAACCACUGAUGGUUAAUGUAAACGUAAUCAUACAUUUAGUUCUCAUAAUAACAAAUAUCUAAGCCACCAGGAUGUUUAAUUAAUUGAGGGAGGACCUUUGUGAGUCAGAAGAGGUGUUUUUUUGUUUUUGUUUUUUUUUUUUUGCUUCAGUAACUUUAUUCUUUAUAAAGCAUGUAAAUAAAUAAAACUGUUCAAGUUCUAAAGAAUUAUCACGUUCAAGAAGAAGGUCUGUUGCUAUCACCAUUCUAGAUUAUGGGAAUUCGUCCCAUUCCUUCAUCUUCCAAUUGUAGUGGCAGAGUGGAAACUGAACUGAAAUUCAGUUGGAUUGUGACAUGACAGCCAGGGGUUAGACACGUAAAGACAUAAACACAGACACUUCCGAACAUGGAGUGCUGGGCCACCAGGAAGGGGCAAAGCAGUCUCCUGAGUCCUGCACUCAGGCACGUUACUUCCUGAUGACGUGUGCCAAGGACCUGGCUGGGGAUCCACGGUCUCUGCUUCAGGAAUUUGUUUUCCUGUACAAAGGCCUAAACCCGAGUUAUCAAAAUAGUGAAGUGGAGGAGGUCCUGGCAAAGACUUUCUGUGUGUUAGUUGCUUAGUCAUGUAUGACUCUUUGCAACCCCAAGGACUGUAGCCCACCAAUCUCCUCUGUCCAUGGGAUUCUCAGGCAAGAAUAUUGGAGUGUGUUGCCAUUUCCUUCUCCAGGCAGAGACUUUGAUCGGUUAUCAAAAAUCCAAGAUUUCGGUGACUCCUUUGGUACAGGAUCUUGGACAUUCCGUUCCUUGCAUUGAGAAGACAUACGGUGUCUCUUUUUAGAGGGUGUCCCACUCACUUUAGGAGACUUCAGAGAAUUCUCACAAGUUACUUCUUUGUGAACCUCUCUUUGUUAAGAGAGGUUCUCUCCUUCCAUGUCUUGACCUCACUUAACAGUUCGUUCUUUUGCUUUACUAGCUGUUCCUUUUGCUGCUUUAACUUGGACACUUCCUUUUCUAGCUGUAUGUAUUCACUUUUCAGAGUAAGAGCUGUAGUGCUUUGCACAAGGCCACUGCCAUCUCCACAGGUUAAGGGUUCAUUUGAAGGCUGAGUAUCAAUAUGUUCUGAUACCAUUGAGGUAUCUUGGGCCUGUUGAUUUCUUCCAAGAUUUUCUCUCAUAGCCUUAUAAGUUCUUUUUGAUAUUCUGCAGUGGCUUUUGUUGAAGCAGUUUCCUUUCCAAACUCCUUGACACUUUUCAUCUUUUCCAGGUCUGUUUUCACCAGCUUCAUUUUGAGAUCUUCAAUUUCUUCUUUAUAAGGCUUAGCUCUUAAAGCAGCUUUGUCCUGAAGUACUUGAAUCUUUUGUUUUUUUUUUGAAGGCAUUCAUUUAAUUCAUUAACUUGCUGUUGAAGUUUUGCUGUUAUGUCAUCAGUCAUCUCAAGUUCUUUCUGCAUCUUUGUAAUCUUGCCCUCCGUAUGCAGAGCACUUUCUUUAGCUUUCUGUAGUGAUGUUUCCAGCUCUUGAAUCUUCUCUGUGGCUUGCUGUGUAGCUCUUGAUGUGACUUGAGAUUGCCUGCCUUGUGUAGUAGGAUUAACAAGGGCACCAGAGGCCAGGGAGAGCUUCAAAGUUUGGUAUAAACUUUAAAUAGUUUUUCAUUGUUCUCUUUCAUUGAUUUCAGACUAUGCUCCCAUUCUUUUGACUAUGGUAGCAUUUCUUUCUUCAAACUCUGUUAAUUCAUUCAUUAUAGGAAUUACUUUGCUAUGAUAGAAGUUAUUCACUUGACAAAUACCAUCAUUUUCUUUCUGGAUGACAUUUUUAAACUUUUCUAUAUAAAAAUGAGCAUUUCAACCACUCUUCCCAAAACUGAGUCAUUUCUUUUCUGUUACUUAGUACUUGCUGAAAUUCAGUCUUUAUGCUAUGGAAAUCACUUUCUGAGAAAUCCUUGAGAAUUUCUUAGAUAUGUAGAUCCAUGCUCUGGCUCAAUUUGAGGUCCCUUGAUUCUCCGGGUGAUAACAUCAUAAUCUUGUUGAAGGUGCUAUAUUUCCAUUAGCAGUUCAUUUUGCUUUUCCACUUCAUCAGUAAAAGCCAUUUCAAAUUUAUUGAUGGAUUCAUGUUGUUCUUCCUUUGUCCUUGCAACAUAGCUUAGCACAUACUGAAGUUUUGUCACGACUCUAUGAAAUUCCAUGGAACACCUCUGGUUUGCAGUAAGAAGUUUCUGGAUUUGUUUGGUUUGUGGAUAUGGAAGUGAGCGGUUUGCUUUUACUCUAACUGAAAGCUCUUUUUGGGUUUCAAUUUCCUUCUUUAAGUCAAGAGACAAUCUAUUUAAACAUUCAUAGUGAUUAUCCAUCUCUGAGUAUCUCUUCAGAAACUCUAUCCUUUUUUUUUUUUUCCUUUUUUUUAAAAUUUUUUUUUAUUUUUUUUUUCUUUUCUUUUCGAGAAACUCUAUCCUAAAGCACUUUUCUCUCGGGCUUCCUGUAAGGUGUUGGUUUCCAUCACAUAGUAACUUUUUUUCAUAUUUUACCUCUUCGUGGUUCUGUUGAUCCUUUUUCUGUAAUUCAUCUUUUGAUUUAUUUAAAUCCUUUUGAAUAUUUGAAAUCUGAGAUUUUUUUCUGAAACUCUCUGAAUUUAUCAAUAGUUUCUUGGUGUUCUUUCAGAUGCACAUGAACAAUUUUUAGUUGUUCUUGUGCUUCCAGUUCUAUAACUAUGGUUCCUUGCAGGUCUGCCUUGAGUAGGUCUCUCUCCAAUUUGAGAGUCUCUAACACUCUCCUUAGGCUAUCUCUUUCUUUCAUUACAGAUUUCAUUUCUUCAAGGUUUUCAUGAAGCUUCUGAGCCAAAUUUAAAUUCUCCAUUUCUAUUUUAUUCAUAGUUAAGCUCUGGGCCUUAAAUUCUUUCUUCAGUUGCUUAAUGUUAAACAUUUUUUUUCUGUGUCUCACUAAUUUCUUCUUAAAAAGUGACUGUUCAUUUACUCUCAGUUCUUGGACCUUUCCUUGUAAUUUAGCAUUUGAAUUUUCUAAAUUCACUUGCAUAUUUGGUAUUCUGUCUUCUCAGAGACAAUCCCUCUGAGUUGAUCAAUAAUUUCUUGGUGCUCCUUCAGAUGCACCUCAGCUAUUCUUAGUUCCUCUUGUUUUUCCGGGUCUUUAGCUUUUGUUUCUCUGAGGCUUUCUCUGAGUUGAUCUCACUCCAUUUUGAGGGUUCCCUCCAUUCUUCUUAGGUCAUCUCUUUCCUUAGUAACAGAUUUUAUUUCUUCAUCAUUUUCAUGAAGUUUCUGAGUCAACCUUAACUUCUCUGUUUCUGUGCUUUCCAGGACUGAAUUCUGGGUCUCUCAUUGCUUCUGCAGUUGCUCUGUUUGAUACAUAUAUUUUCACUGAGAUAAUUUUUUACCUUAAGAAUUUGAUGUUCUUUCUCCUGAAGUUCUUGGAUCUGUGCUUUUAAGGCAGUAUUUGUGUUUCUAAAUUCAUUUGGAUAUUUGAUAUAUCAUCUAUCUUCUCUGAAACAAUUCCUUUGAGUUUAUUUAUAGUUUCUUGGUGCUCUUUCAGAUUCAUUUGGGCAGUUCUUAGUUCCUCUCAUUUUUCCAGGUCUCUACUUGUUGUUUCUCUUAGGUUUUCCUUGAGCUGGUCUAUCUCUACUUUGAGCGUCUUCUCCGUAUUCCUAAGGUCAUCUAUUUCUUUUGUAACAGAUCUUAUUUCUACAAGAUUUUCAUGGAGUCUCUGAGUUAACUUUAUGUUUUCCCAUUCUGUAUUUUCUAGAGUUGACUUUUGGGCCUCAAGUUGCUUCUUCAAGUUUUCCAUUUCAUAUAUUUUUUCCCGAGUCUCACUGACAUCUUUCGUCUCAAGACAUUGAUGUUCUUCUUCCUGAAGUUCUUGAAUCUUUGCCUCCUUCCUUGAGUCGCAGACCUUCAGCACUUGUUUGAGCAGCCCUUUCACUGCCUGCAAGAUCAACCAAAUUCAAAUGGGACUCUUUGACAGAUCCUUCAAAAUUAGAAGGUUCACCUUUCUCUCUACUUUCCAAAAUCAUCCUAAAAAUGGUAUGAGAACAGACUACUUCUUUGACUCAUUUUUGUAAUUCUAUAAUGCCUGUUCUUUUCUCCUUUUGUGAUCUAUUUCAAAGCCAUUUCCUAUGUAUAAACAACUUCUAUCAGGUCGGCCACAUAUGCAUUCCUGUUGAAGUCUUCCCAAAUUAUUAAAGGCUUCAUUUUUUGAGCAUCACAAUGUAAGUCUGUAAUGGUUUCAUUGUAUAUCUCCAUGUAAGACACACGUAAGAGAAAUUCCCUAUCAGGAAACUUCUUAAUUUUCUGUAAAGUGUCAUGAAUUGCCGUGGGUGUUACUCCCAAAUACUCUUGUGAACCCAUCAUAGUAUAUGUUUUUCCUGUAGCAGUCUGCCCAUAGGCAAAUAUAGUACCAUUUUAGCCUUGGAUGGCAGAAUCUAUGAUUGAUACCACAGUUUCUUCAUACACAUUUUUAGUAGUUUCAUUACUGUGAAAAACACGAUCAAAAUGGAAGGAUUUACUCCCAUCAACUUGAUAAAUUGUGUUAUUGUCAGUUUUCCAGUAAGCUUGAGUGUCUUUUCCAAGUGCUGCUUCUCUGCUAUUGAGCAGUCGAACCUGCAUGUAGACGGCUACGACUCAUUCCUUAGCCAUCCUGCCUGGUUGGAUCCCAGGGAAUAGAGAAGAGGUUUUAAAAGAGAAGUGAAAGUUGAUUUUCAAAUAAAUACACAGUAAAUUUUAGACCAGAGGUUUUUGUUAGUGGACCUCAUACUCUUAGGAGUGGCAUGAGGUAGGUUGCUGAGUUGUUACUGCAUGCAAAAGUCAAUGAGCUAAUAGUUCAUUGAAUAUUGUCUGAAGGGAGAUAGUAUUUCAUAUAUGUAUACUACUCUUUUCCAAGUAUGUGAACAUGUUCUGAGUAAUUGAAUGCAAAUUGUUGAAAAGGGUCAUUCAUCGUAACUUUAGAUAAAUCAUCCUUCAUUGUUUCUGAGUAUAAAUAGUGAAAGCAUAGUUAUUCUGUUUUUGGGAUUCUUAAAAUUCAGGGCAUUGGGAACUUUGUGCUAGGAUAGCAUUGAUUUCUCUAGUUUAUUAUUAUUUAAUUUGUUUCUCUAGCAAUUAGAUGGUGAUAUAUAAUAUAGAUUAUGAUAUAUAAUAACAAGACCUGUAAAGUGUCAAAGAGGUGAUGCUGUUUUGCAGUUUUACCUAAAGAAUUGUGCUCUGAAAAUUGGUCUGUAACCACAUUUUCUACACAAGCAGUGGUAUUUAUAGAUUUUUCUUUUGCUAGACUGUAAAAUUUUUAGAGGGGGAGAAUAGAUCUUAUCGUUGUGUUUCUAGGAAGGGCAAAAAUAUUUAUGCUGCAAUGUUAAGUGAGUGAAUGAAUGAAUGAAAAAAAAGGUAUAUGUGCAUUUAAGUUUUUGAAAUAAAACAGUUCUAAAAAUUA